GUAGGGAAUCUUCCACAAUGGACGCAAGUCUGAUGGAGCAACGCCGCGUGAGUGAAGAAGGUCUUCGGAUCGUAAAGCUCUGUUGUUGGUGAAGAAGGAUAGAGGCAGUAACUGGUCUUUAUUUGACGGUAAUCAACCAGAAAGUCACGGCUAACUACGUGCCAGCAGCCGCGGUAAUACGUAGGUGGCAAGCGUUGUCCGGAUUUAUUGGGCGUAAAGCGAGCGCAGGCGGAAUGAUAAGUCUGAUGUGAAAGCCCACGGCUCAACCGUGGAACUGCAUCGGAAACUGUCAUUCUUGAGUGCAGAAGAGGAGAGUGGAACUCCAUGUGUAGCGGUGGAAUGCGUAGAUAUAUGGAAGAACACCAGUGGCGAAGGCGGCUCUCUGGUCUGCAACUGACGCUGAGGCUCGAAAGCAUGGGUAGCGAACAGGAUUAGAAACCCGGGUAGUCC
rnacentral:rRNA from 1 species